rnacentral:lncRNA from 1 species
CUCAGCACCGAGCGAGCGACGUUCGUGAAGCUUUCGUUUUGAGCGGCCAGACUCUGCUGUUCUCAAGCCUGGGAGGCACAGAGAAGCAAGACUUCCGCAUCGGGGGAGGAUAGGGCUUGAGGGCCGCCAGCCCAGACUCGCUUCACAAAUGUGAGAACUAUGACAGUCCAGCGAGUAAAGGCCAAGAGUAAACUCCAGGUUUCCCCAGAGUAACGCUCUCACAUUUUAAAAGUUCCUCACGUUCCCACCGCUCUUGUCCCUCUUUCUGAGAGAUACAGGCCAAAAGGUGGGCUCUCCCUGUUUUUUUCCUUUUAAGCAUUUUUUUUCAACUUGAAGUCACUGUUAGGUUUCGUUGAGGACCCUACCAACUUUUAAUAUUUGAAAAUGGGGUUGGAAUAUAUUUGUGUCUCAUCAAAUCAGCAACAGUACUGUGUGUGGAAAUGCCACCAUUACGGGCAUCCGCAACCUGUGAUUUAAUUUUUAAAGUAAAUCAAUGGAUUUUGGCAAUACACAUUUUCUAGCUCAACUCAAUUUAUUGGAAAGAUGACCACCAUAAGAGAUUGUUGACAUGUCAAAGUUAUGUAGUUAAUCACUCAAAGUCAUGCAGUAUGUUUACAUUUGUUCUUUGGUACAUGAGGAUAGUUAACCGAUACAGUAUCUUAAAGAAAAAAGUGAUGGAAUGACAGCCAAAUAUGCUCUUGCCUCAAGAACUUUGCAUUUGCUGUACUCUCUGCCUUGAACACCACUCUGUCAUUGCCCUUUUUCCUUCAGGUGUUUGCCAAAUUAACACCAAAGAGCCUCAUAUAGACUAACAUAUAUACACAUUCUGUCUCACCCUCUUUUUUUUGUUAGAUACAUUGUCUUACUCUGUUGUUCAGGUUCUAGUGCAAUGAAUGUUGCAAUCAUAGCUCACUGCAGCCUCAAUCUCCCAGGCUCAAGCGAUCCUCUCACCUCAGCCUGGGCUCAAUUGAUCCUCCUGCCUCAGCCUCCUGAGUAGCUGGGACUACAGACAUGCCACCACGCCUGGCUAAUUAUUUUUUGUAGAGACAAGGUCUUGCUAUGUUGCCCAGGCUGGUCUCAAACUCUUGGCCUCACACGCUCCUCCCACCUCAGCCUUCCAAAGUACUAGAAUUAGAGGUGAGAGCCACCACACCCGGACAUACUAUAUUAUUGUCUCUCUCCAGUUAGAGUGUAAGCUCUUGGAGAGCAAGGUCUUGUCUAUUUUGUUCACUCUCAGAUACCCAGGACCUAAAACUGUGCCUGGCACAUAGGUGGUGUUCAGUAAACAUUUGUUGAAUGAAUCACUGAAUGUUUUAGGAGAAAGGACAUGGGAUUGGGAGUUACAGGCCCUACACAAGUUCUCAUUCCAUCUGCUAGAAACUAUAUGACCUCAGUAAAGUUACUUAAUCUCUUAAUACUUCCAUUUUUUCAUUUAUAAAAUGGGAUUAAUAAUGUCUACCUCACAAGAUUACAGCAAAGAUUAAAUAAGAGGGGGUAAAGUCAUAAAGUGGAAUAUAAUUUCAUAGUUAAAAUGAAUGAAUUAUACUACCUAUACCAACGAUGAAUCCUGAAAACUACAUUGAUUGAAAAAGCAAAUUCAAAGGUAUACAUAAUAGUGUCAUAUCAUUUAUAUACAAUCUUAAAACCACAAAACAAUGCGUUGUGUGAGUUAUGUAUACAAAUAUGUUUGAUAAAAGUAUGAAAACAUGUUUGGCAAAGAUAGAUAUCAACUCCAGGAUAGUUGCACCUGUGGAAGGGAGAGAAGGGAAUGAAAUGAUGAAGCUUCAAUGUAUCCCUAAGGGUUUUCUUUUAGUAGGAUUUGAAUUAAUUAUUAUUUAAUCAAAAUUUAAUGUUAUAUUUGGGUGGAUGUUAUAUUACUAUUUGUAUCUGCAUAGCCAGGAUAUUCCAACAUGUAUUAAAAAAAAUAGCUCCUUCCCGUCUUGUAAGAUGGUGGGGGAAAAAGUUGAGAAGCCAGACACCAAGGAGAAGAAACGUGAAGCCAAGAAGGCUGAUGCUAGUGGCAAGGUUAAAACAUAACUUCGGUUGGGCACGGUGGCUCACGCCUGUAAUCCCAGCACUUUGGGAGGCUGAGGCAGGCGGAUCACCUGAGGUCAGGAAUUCAAGACCAGCCUGGCUAACAUGGUGAAACUCCAUUUCUACUAAAAAUACAAAAAAUUAGCUGGGUGUGCUGGUGGGCGCCCGUAAUCUCAGCUAUUCGGAAGGCUGAGGCAGGAGAAUCGCUUGACCCCGAGAGGCGGAGGUUGCAGUGAGCCGAGAUUGCAUCAUUGCAUUCCAGCUUGGGCAACAAGAGCGAAACUCCGUCAAAAAACACAAACAAAAACACCUCAAGGCUAAAAAGCCAAAGAAAGGGAAGCCCCCCUGCAGCGGAAAUCCUGUCCUUAUCAGAGGAAUUGGCAGAUAUUCUCAAUCUGCUAUGUCAAAAAGGCCAGGUACAAGAGGAAGUACUCGGGUACUAAAUCCAGAAUUAAAAAGAAGAAAGUCCAGACUUGAAAAAGGAAAAGGUUCUUGCCAUUGCUACAAAACCAGUUGGUGGCAACAAGAAUGGUGAUACUUUUUGCAAAGUAAACCCUACAAAAUGCCUAGAUCCUUCCAAAGAUGUGCCUGGAAAGCUGCUGUUGAGCCACAGAAAAAACAAACAGAAACACUUCAGUCAGCACAGAGAAAACUGCAAACUAGCUUCUCUCCUGGGAUCAUUCUGCUUAUCCUCACUGGGCACCACAAAGGCAAGAGGGUGGUUUUACUGGAGCAGCUGAGGAGUGGCUUGUUAAUUGUGACUGGACCUCUGGUCCUCAUUCACAUUCUGUGGGAAACACACCAGAGGUCAUCACAAAAUUGAAAUCAGCAAUGUGAAAAUUCCAAAACAUCUUACCAAUGCUUGCUUAAGAAGAUGAUGCUAUGGAAGCCCAAAUACUGGGAAAGUGACAUCGUCAACACAGAAAGAGAGUAAUAGAAGAUUAUGGAGCAAUGCAAGGUUGAUCAGAAAGCUGUGGACUCGUGGCCAAGCACGCUAGCUCACUCCUGUUACCCCAGCACUUUGGGAGCCUGAGGCGGGUGGAUCACUUGAGGUCAGGAGUUCGACACCAGCCUGCCAACAUGGUGAAACCCCAUCUCUACUAAAAAUACAAAAAUUAGCCUGGCGUGGUGGCGGGCAUCUGUAAUCCCAGCUGCUGGGGAGGCUGAGGCAGGAGAACCACUUGAUCCCGGGAAGCAGAGUUUGCAGUGAGCAGAGAUCGCACCACUGCACUCUAGCCUGGGUGACAGAGCAAGACUCCAUCUCAAAAAAAAAAAAAAAAAAUUAGAAAGUUGUGGACUCGUAAAUGUUACCAAAAAUCAAAGCUAUUCCUUAGCUCCAGGGCUACCUGUAAUCUGUGUUUGCUCUGAUGAAUGGAGUUUAUCCUAGCAAAUAGGUGUUCUAAAUGUCUUACCAAGAACCUAAUUAAAUAACUGAUGCAUUUAAAAACUAAAAUAAGUAUACUUUUAAGCUUAAAUAACACAUCUGAAAAAUAGUUUAAAAAUACCAAAUUUUAGCUAUUUUUAGAACAUAUGAAGAAAGAUUAUAAAAAUUAGAAUGCUAUCUGGAAGGCAAUAGCUAAAUAGCAUGGUAAUUCUAAAAAGCAGUAUAAAUUUGCAAGCCUUAUAAAUAAUAGAGCCUCAGAAAUCCCAUUUAAUUCAAAAAGUCAUUUUGGGCAAGAUAUUGGGUUAGGUACUUCUGUGACAGACACAAAAAUGAGGAAGAUGAAGUUAGUUUCAGCGGGGCAUAGUGGCUAACACUUGUAGUCCCAGCUACUUGAGAGGCUGAGGUAGGAGGAUGGCUUGAGCCAAGGAAGCCAGGGUUACAGUAAGCCACAAUCUCGCCACUACAUUCCAGCCUGAGCAACAGAGCCAAAUCCUGUCUCAGAGGAAAAAAAAAAAGUUAAUUUCAGGUAAUGUACAAUUUGUGGAUACAGAAAGGAUAUAAUGAGAACAUAGACAAUUAAGAGCAAAGUGAAAUCCAGUGAAUGCCAGGACAGGGAUAUAAACAGCAUGUAUUGGAAAAAUAGAGGACACAAUCUACUCCAGUGGAAAGAAGAGGUGUAUCAGGAAGGAGCUCAAGGAGAAGGUGUCACCAUAUCUGAGAUUGGACUUGAAGGAUGAGGAGGACUUCAAGAGACAGAAAUUGGGGAAAAGGAAUAUAUUCUAACUAGAGGCAGCAGUAUGAACAAAAAGCAUGCUGAGGGAGGGACACGGUCCCCUUUGGCUGGUACAAGGGAACAUUUAGAGUAGUCUGAGACAUUUGUACAGACUUCAGUAAGUAUUGGAGAGGCUCUGGGAGAUUUCAUAUAAGAGUGAUGGUCAAAGCUACACUUGAAUCUGGCAGGAGAGUGUAGAACAGAAUAAAAGGAGAGUAGCAGGUCAUUUAGAGAAAUCAAACAUCUAUAGCAGUAUUUUAACAAAUGAGUUGAUUCAAGAAGUCAGCAUUCCAAGUAGACAUCCUCCCUCUAGUAACUCAUGUAUUAUCCAGGCUGGUUCCAUUUCUACACCUUCUACUCAGCCCUAAACCUACGUAUACUAUACUCUCUGUCCUGUUUGCCCUCCCACCCCUUAAGUGCCUCUCACCAGAGUUACCAAUGACUUUCAUAUGGCUGUUGACCAGUUCUUUCCUUUGACCUUUUAGCAGCAUUUGACAAUAGAGACCAGCUGUCCUCAACCUUUUUGGCACCAAGGACCAGUUUUGUGGAAGACAGUUUUUCCAUGGACAGGGAGGUGGAGGGAUGUUUUCGGGAUGAUUCAAGCACAUUACAUUUAUUUUGCACUAUUAUUACAUUGUAAUAUAUAAUAAGUCAUUAUACAACUCACCAUAAUGUAGAAUCAGUGGGAGCCCUGAGUUUGUUUUUCUGCAACUAGACGGUCCCAUCUGGGGUGAUGGGAGACAAUGAGAGAUCAUCAGGCAUUAGAUUCUCAUAAAGAGCAUGCAACCUACAUCUGUCACAUGUGCAGUUCACAAUAGGGUUUGCACUCCUAUGAGAAUUUAAUGCCCUGCUGAUCUGACAGGAGGCGGAGCUCAGGCGGUAAUGCCAGUGAUGGGAAGCUGCUGUGAAAAGAGAUGAAGCUUCACUUGCUUGCCCUCCACUCACCUCCUGCUGUGUGGCCCGGUUCCUAACAGGCCACUGGCCAGUACUGUGGCCCAGGGGUUGGAGACCCCUAAUGUAGACCACUGCUGCUUUCUUGGAAAGCUUUCUUUGGACUCCAUGACGCUUACUUGUUAACAACACUUCUUUGCCAUUCCCGUUACUGUUGAUAUUCCUCAGGAUUCUAACUUAGUUUCUUUUCUCUUUUUUAUUAUUUCAUUCACACUCAAGGCUUCAAUUAACUUUCCGUCUGCUGUUCACUCCAAAAUUCAUUGCUCUUCCCUUAUCUCUCUCCAAGAUUUAUAUUUCCUAUGUCUAUCUCCCUACUGAAUAUUUUCCCUUCAGCAUUUCCCAGGCACUUUAUUUUGUUUAACUUUUUGUUAUGGGGACUUUCAAAUAUAUAUAAAAGUAGACACAAUAAGGAACUCCUUUAUGUCCAUCACCCAAUCAAUGAUUAUCAGCAUAUGGUUAGUCUUUGUUUCAUUUAUAACCACCUUUCUCAUUUUCUCUCUCCUCAGUUGGAUUAAAGAAAAGUCUAGACCUCAUAUCAAUUUAUCUGCAGAUACUUCAGUUUAUAUCUUUAAAACAUAAGGACUAGAUUCUAUCUCCUAAAUAUCAAACCUAUCCACUUUCCCCCAAAUUCCCUUACCACCAUUCUAGUUUUAGACCAUCAUCACCUCUUGCCUAAAUUACUUCAACAGGCUUCUAGCUUGCCUAUCUGCCUUUAGGCUUGUUUUUCUCUAACCCAUUCUCCAUACUUGAGGGGGAGAGAGUCUCCCAGACCUUUUAUUUUUCCUGAAACGAGUCUCACUCUGUCGCCCAGGCUGGAUUGCAAUCAUGUGAUCUCGGCUCAGCUGCAACCUCUGCCUCCAGGAUUCAAGCCAUCCUCCCACCUCAGCUUCUCAAGUAGCUGGGAUGACAGGUGCAUGCCACUAUGCCCAGCUGAUUUUUGUAUUUUUAGGAGAGAUGGGGUUUUACCAUAUUGGCCAGGCUGGUCUUGAACACCUGACCUCAAGUGACCUGCCCACCUUGGCCUCCCAAAGUGCUGGGAUGCUGGGAUUUAAUAGGAGUGAGCCACUGCGCGUGGCCAUCUCCUAGCUUUUUUGUGUGUGUGUGUGUGUGUGUGUGUGUGUGUGUGUGUGAUGGAGUCUCACUCGCUGGAGUGCCGUGGCACGAUCUCGGCUCACUGCAACCUCCGUCUCCAGGAUUCAAGCCAUUCUCUUGCCUCAGCCUCCUGAGUAGCUGGGAUUACAGCUACUGUAAUCCCAGUGUGUGCCACCACGCCCGGUGAAUUUUUGUAUUUUUAGUAGAGAUGGGCUUCGCCAUGUUGGCCAAGCUGGUCUGGAGCUCCUGGCCUCAGGUGAUCUGCUGCCUUGGCCUCCCAAAGUGCUGGGAUUAUAGGCAGGAGCCACCAUAUCCGGCCAAUUUUUAAUUUUUGUGGGUAUAUAGUAGGUGUAUAUACUUUAUGGGGUACAUAAGCUAUUUUGAUACAGGCACACAAUGUGUAAUAAUCACAUCAGGGUAAAUGGGGUAUCCAUCACCUCAAGCAUUUAUCUUUUGUGUUACAAACAAUCCAAUUAUAUUCAUUUAAAAAUGUACAAUAAAUGUUUGACUGUAGUCACCCUGUUCUGCAAUCAAAUGCUAGAUCUUUUUUCUUUUUUGAGACAAGGUCUCAUCUGUUGUCCAGGCUGGACUACAGUGGCCUGAUCUUGGUGUACUGCAGCCUUGGGCUUCCAGGCUGAAGUGAUUUUCCCACCUCAGCCUCCUGAGUAGCUGAGACUACAAGUGCACACCACCUCAGCUGGCUAAUUUUGGUGUUUUUUGUAGAGACGGGGGUUUUGCCAUGUUGCCUAGGCUGGUGUUGAACUCCUGGGCUCAAGUGAUCGGCCUGCUUCAGUCUCCUGAAGU